UACGUAGGUGGCAAGCGUUGUCCGGAUUUACUGGGCGUAAAGGGCGUGCAGGCGGUUUGUUAAGUGCAGGGUGAAAGCUCCCGGCUUAACUGGGAGGGUGCGGCGAAAACUGGAAUGCUAGAGGAUGGGAGAGGUAAGCGGAAUUCCUGGUGUAGCGGUGAAAUGCGUAGAUAUCAGGAGGAACACCUGUGGUGUAGACAGCUUACUGGACCAUUUCUGACGCUGAGACACGAAAGCGUGGGUAGCAAACAGG
rnacentral:rRNA from 1 species